AUUGAACGCUGGCGGCACGCCUAACACAUGCAAGUCGAGCGGUAGCAGGACCUGUAGCAAUACAGGCUGCUGACGAGCGGCGGACGGGUGAGGAAUACGUAGGAACCUGCCUUAUAGUGGGGGAUAACUAAGGGAAACUUUAGCUAAUACCGCAUACUCUCGAGAGAGGAAAGCUGCCGCAAGGUGGCGCUAAAAGAGGGGCCUGCGUCCGAUUAGCUAGUUGGUGAGGUAAGAGCUAACCAAGGCGAUGAUCGGUAACUGGUCUGAGAGGACGACCAGUCACACUGGGACUGAGACACGGCCCAGACUCCUACGGGAGGCAGCAGUGGGGAAUAUAGGACAAUGGGGGCAACCCUGAUCCAGCGAUGCCGCGUGAGUGAAGAAGGCCUUCGGGUCGUAAAGCUCUUUAGGUUGGGAAGAAGGGUGUUAGAGGAAAUGCUAAUACUUUGACGGUACCGACAGAAUAAGCACCGGCAAACUCUGUGCCAGCCGCCGCCGUAA
rnacentral:rRNA from 1 species